rnacentral:rRNA from 1 species
UACGGGGGGGGCAAGCGUUGUUCGGAAUUACUGGGCGUAAAGGGCUUGUAGGUGGCCAACUAAGUCAGACGUGAAAUCCCUCGGCUUAACCGGGGAACUGCGUCUGAUACUGGAUGGCUUGAGUUUGGGAGAGGGAUGCGGAAUUCCAGGUGUAGCGGUGAAAUGCGUAGAUAUCUGGAGGAACACCGGUGGCGAAGGCGGCAUCCUGGACCGGUAUUGACGCUGAGGAGCGAAAGCCAGGGGAGCAAACGGG